rnacentral:rRNA from 1 species
UACGGAGGGUGCGAGCGUUGUCCGGAAUCACUGGGCGUAAAGGGCGCGUAGGCGGCGCGGAUAGUCGGCGGUGAAAGCCCGGAGCUCAACUCCGGGUCGGCCGUCGAUACUUCCGGGCUUGAGCACUGUAGAGGCAGAUGGAAUUCCGGGUGUAGCGGUGGAAUGCGUAGAGAUCCGUGAGGACACCGAUGGCGAAGGCGGCAUCCGUGGACCAACACUGACGCUGAGUGAGCGGAAAGCCAGGGGAGCAAACGGG